rnacentral:lncRNA from 1 species
CCCUCAAAGUCUCGUUUUGAUUUUGAUUGUACCCUCUCUCUUGAUCUGGUGUAGGCUCGGUGUAGCCAUCAUUAACGAUCUCCCAUAGAUCUUGUGAGCCAAACAAUGACUUCAUCUGGAUACACCAAUUCCCAAAGUUCUCCUUAGUAAGCUUUGGGAUUUGCAUUUGCACACCAUUACUAGCCAUUUCCCUUAGGAUCAGUCUUCUCAAUAAGACAAGGC